rnacentral:lncRNA from 1 species
ACAGUGGGUGGUUAUGGGGCGGCUAUGGGGCACAGUGGGUGGCUAUGGGGCACAGGGGUGGUUAUGGGGUGGCUAUGGGGCACAGGGGUGGCUAUGGGGCAGUUGUGGGGUUUCUGUGAGGCACAGUGGUUCCUAUGGGGCACAGUGGGUCCUAUGGGGUCCCUACAGGAUCUCUAUGGGAUCUCAGUGUGUCCUUAUGGGGUCCUUAUGGGGUUCUGUGGGUCCUUAUGGGGUUCUAUGGGGUCCCUAUGGGGUCCCUAUGGGGUCCUUAUGGGGUCCUUAUGGGGUCCUUAUGGGGUUCUGUGGGGCCACCCUACAGCCAUGGGGCAGCCGAGCGACCAGGGUCCCUAUGGGGUUCUGUGGGUUCUUAUGGGUCCCUAUGGGUCCCUAUGGGUCCUUAUGGGGUUUCUAUGGGGUCCUAUGGGUCCCUAUGGGUCUGUGGGUCCCUAUGGGUCCUUAUGGGGUCCUUAUGGGGUCGUUAUGGGGCCGUUUUGGGGCCGCCCUGCAGCCAUGGGGGAACCGAGCGACCUGGGUCCCUAUGGGGUCGCUAUGGAUUCCUACAGGUUCCUAUGGGGUUCUAUGGGUCCCUAUGGGGUUUUAUGGGGUUCUACGGGUCCCUAUGGGUCUGUGGGUCCUUAUGGGUCCUUAUGGGGUC